AGGCAUAAUAGCCUGUUUCCCAGCAAGCACCGUGCCUGAUUGUUUCGUCUGGAAAAUGGCGGCUGGGACGGGUAAGCACAAGCUGCUGAGUGCUGGACCUACAGAACCAUGGUCUAUCCGGGAGAAACUGUGCUUGGCUUCUUCUGUCAUGCGGAGUGGGGACCAGAACUGGGUGUCUGUCAGCAGAGCCAUCAAACCCUUUGCAGAGCCAGGCCGCCCACCUGAUUGGUUUUCUCAGAAGCACUGUGCAUCCCAGUAUUCUGAGCUCCUGGAGACAACAGAGACACCUAAAAGAAAGCGUGGUGAGAAAGGAGAAGUGGUGGAAACUGUGGAAGAUGUUAUUGUGAGAAAACUAACAGCAGAACGGGUUGAGGAGCUGAAGAAGAUGAUUAAGGAGGCACAAGAGAAGUACAGGCAGCUGAAGAGGGAUGCAGAACUGAUCCAGGCGGGGCACAUGGACCACAGACUGGAGGAACUGUACAAUGACAUUGUGAUGAAAAAAAGAAUGGAGGAAGAGGAGGCAGAGGUGAAGAGGAAAGCUACUGAUGCUGCUUAUCAAGCUCGCCAGGCAGUUAAGAAUCCAUCACGAAGAGUACCAGGAAUGAUGGUCCGCUCUCCAGCAGGCUCAACUUCACCAGGAGGAGACUACACUCUAGGGGAUUUGUCUCAGCCCACUGUGGAAGAGGCUAGUCCAGGGGUAACUCCAGGGACAUUGCCCAACACCCCAGUUGCCUCCUUCAUUGGGAUCCCUGACACCCCUAUGGGCUCCACCUCACUGGAUGCCCCCAUGACCCCAGUCACAGAUGAUUCAACCCAGAAAAAGAUGCUAGGACAGAAAGCAACUCCGCCUCCUUCUCCUCUGCUUUCAGAGCUGCUGAAGAAAGGCAGCCUCCUGCCCACAAGCCCCAGGCUGGUUGGUGAGAGUGAGAUGACAGUGGUUUCUGGUCAUACAAGUAGCUCUGGUAUCCUCCUUGAUGUGGGAGGGGUCCUUCCAGUGCUGCACGGUAGUGAAAUGCAGUUAGCUUCUACGACUGUUCCUGCGUCUCCUGCUGCUUCUGGUGCUCCUACUCUUUCCCGCCUUUUAGAAGCUGGUCCAGCACAGUUCACCACAUCGCUUGCUUCCUUUUCUGCUGUCACCAGUGAACCUCCAGCCAAACUUCUGCCUCCCCCUGUAGAAUCUGUGUCUCAGACAACUAUAGUCACGGUUCCCACACUACCAGCACCAGCUGCUGUGCCACCAACCGCCGCUCCUGAAAGUGUAGCGUCAGGCUUUCACUUGACUUGUCACUCUUGUCCAGUGAGUCAGCCCAACGCAUGUGUUUCCAUGGAGGCAUUGCCCGAUCCUCACUCUGUGACAGUGUCAAUGGACAGCAGUGAAAUUUCCAUGAUCAUUGAUUCCAUCAAGAAAGAAUGCCUGGGCUCUGGGGCAUCUGUUGCUGUAGGGACUUCCAAAGACCACAGCAUGGAUGGAAAGGAAGACCUUGAUCUGGCUGAGAAGAUGGAUAUUGCAGUUUCCUAUGCAGGGGAGGAGCCUUCCUACACUGGAGAAGAACUGGACUUUGAGACUGUUGGGGAUAUCAUAGCCAUAAUUGAGGACAAGGUGGAUGACCAUCCUGAAGUCUUGGAUGUAGCAGCAGUUGAGGCUGCUUUGUCUUUUUGUGAAGAAAUCGAAGAUCCCCAGUCACUGACUAGUCCCUGGGAGCAUCCAAUCCAACGAGAACAUCCAAUCCAGCAGGAACAUGAGAAACAGAAUCAGAUUCCUCAGAUGACUGUGACCAUAAAGCAAGAGAGAGCUGACUGUGAUGAAUCUGAAGCUAAGGGGAUCAGAGAUCUAAUGAGCAUUGUGGAUCUGGGGACAGAAAUAAAAACAGAGCCUGCAGAGCAAGAACAGAUACAUUUGGGCCCUGAGGAAAUGACGAGAACAAAUGAAGCCCCUGAAUUGAGGGGCCACAUCUCUGAAAAUGAGCAGGCUGGAAUUGCUGGUGUUCCAAGCUCUGAAAUGGAGAUGGAAUCUACAAAGGAGGAAGUGCAUCAUAGCACAGUGAAGACAGAGCUUCCCCUUGAUGAAGAGACUUCCUCUCCCCAUGCUCCAAGUGCAAGUGAAGACUCCUCACAGACAGACCUUCACCACAAAUAUGAGCUUUCAGAAUCAAUGAAGGAGGAAGCCCAAGCUCUUUUUGAGAGCCAGAUGAAGGAUGCUCAGGGUGAAGAGGAUGAGGAGGAUGGUGCCAGCGAGGCUGCCAGUCUGGAGGAACCCAAAGAGGAAGAUCAGGGUGAGGGGUAUCUUUCAGAAAUGGACAAUGAGCCCCCUGUGAGUGAGAGCGAUGAUGGCUUCAGUAUCCAUAAUGCACCUUUGCAGUCUCACACACUGGCUGACUCCAUCCCCAGCAGCCCUGCCUCCUCACAGUUCUCUGUUUGUAGUGAGGAUCAGGAGGCCAUUCAAGCCCAGAAAAUUUGGAAAAAAGCAAUUAUGCUGGUUUGGAGAGCGGCAGCCAAUCACAGGUAUGCCAAUGUCUUCUUGCAGCCAGUGACUGAUGAUAUAGCACCAGGAUACCACAGUAUUGUACAGAGGCCAAUGGAUUUAUCAACCAUUAAAAAAAAUAUUGAAAAUGGGCUGAUCCGGACCACAGCAGAGUUCCAACGAGAUAUCAUGCUAAUGUUCCAGAAUGCUGUUAUGUACAACAGUUCUGACCAUGAUGUGUACCACAUGGCUGUGGAAAUGCAGCGAGAUGUCUUGGAGCAGAUUCAGCAAUUUCUAGCCACACAGCUGAUCAUGCAGACGUCUGAGUCUGGGAUCAGUGCAAAAAGUCUGCGUGGACGAGAUUCCACUCGGAAACAAGAUGCUUCAGAGAAGGACAGUGUCCCCAUGGGCUCUCCUGCUUUCCUCCUUUCUCUCUUCGCAGAACAGCCCAUGAGGGAAGGCAGCCAAUUGGAGAGGGCAGCAGAUGGAAGUAAACUCUCUCAGUGCCCUACAUUCAUGGAAAGCCACUUUGAGGAGAUGCUAGGGAGAUAGUGCCAGGGCCACGCACGUGGAAGAGAACUUCUAUAAAGAUCAGCAGUUGGAUCAGGAUGGAGGAACUAGAGGACGACGUUGUGCUAUCGAAGCAGACAUGAAGAUGAAGAAAUGAAGCAGAAGGCAACAGGCCAGACAUGAAGAAAUGAAGCAGAGGGCAACAGACCAGACCCAAGGAUCAAAACCAGAACCUUCCUGAUACCAAGUGGAAAAUGCUACAGACAGGAAAGGGCAGCUUCUGGGUCUGGCCUGUCUCUACAAGAGAAUAGUUUUCUAGAAUGUGUUACCAGGGAAAAUCCCAGGAGAAGGCCAACACCCCCAUUGCCUGUUGUAAGGCAGCACUACUGGAACUCUGUUAGUGUCCUCCUGUUAGAUAGCAACUGGUGGCUAUUAUGUACUGUAAUGUGAAGUGUACAUAUUUUUUGUAUUAGUGGAGUGUAAAUGUGUAUAUUAAACUGUAGUAGAGAA